rnacentral:rRNA from 1 species
GUCGAGCGGUAAGGCCCUUCGGGGUACACGAGCGGCGAACGGGUGAGUAACACGUGGGUGAUCUGCCCUGUACUUCGGGAUAAGCCUGGGAAACUGGGUCUAAUACCGGAUAUGACCUUGGGCUGCAUGGUCUUUGGUGGAAAGAUUUAUCGGUACAGGAUGGGCCCGCGGCCUAUCAGCUUGUUGGUGGGGUAAUGGCCUACCAAGGCGACGACGGGUAGCCGGCCUGAGAGGGCGACCGGCCACACUGGGACUGAGACACGGCCCAGACUCCUACGGGAGGCAGCAGUGGGGAAUAUUGCACAAUGGGCGAAAGCCUGAUGCAGCGACGCCGCGUGAGGGAUGACGGCCUUCGGGUUGUAAACCUCUUUCGACAGGGACGAAGCGCAAGUGACGGUACCUGUAGAAGAAGCACCGGCCAACUACGUGCCAGCAGCCGCGGU